rnacentral:tRNA from 1 species
GUUACUUUGGCAGAUUAGUGCCUUAAAUUUAGAAUUUAAUUAUGUAUAUUUAUACAGGUAAUA